rnacentral:sRNA from 1 species
AUGUACCACUUGUCCACUCCGGUUCCUCCGCGCCGCCCGCACCCACCUGACGACUGCUCGCUACGUGUUGUUAGCC